rnacentral:lncRNA from 1 species
CAUUAGUGUACACAAAGAUGAUGCAUUGCAUUUAUCCUUGUACUUGGCAUUGCUCCUUGUACAUUGCUUAUGUGAGACGGCACGGACUUCGUGAGGAUUCAUUAGCCCUCAGAGGAAAGACCUGGAACAGCCCUACGGGGACCAGGCACAUGGUACUUAGGUACCCCAGAUGAGAUAGAGGGAGUUUUGAUCCGUCCGGCCGAGGUGAUGUGAUUAUGUGUUGCAUUCCAUGAGAGCAUGUUUUAUCACCUGUUAUUUGACUAUUCUACUCACUGGGCUAUAGUAGCUCAUCCCUCUCCCCUAA